GAUGAACGCUGGCGGCGUGCUUAACACAUGCAAGUCGAACGGAGAAAGGGUAGCUUGCUAUCCUUCUUAGUGGCGGACGGGUGAGUAACGCGUGGGUAACCUGCCCUUUGCAGGGGGAUAACAGUGAGAAAUCACUGCUAAUACCGCAUACCAACUUCUUUCGCAUGAAGGAAGUUUGAAAGAUUUAUCGGCAAAGGAUGGACCCGCGUUGGAUUAGCUAGUUGGUGAGAUAACAGCCCACCAAGGCAACGAUCCAUAGCCGGCCUGAGAGGGUGAACGGCCACACUGGGACUGAGACACGGCCCAGACUCCUACGGGAGGCAGCAGUGGGGAAUAUUGCACAAUGGGCGAAAGCCUGAUGCAGCGACGCCGCGUGAAGGAUGAAGGUCUUCGGAUUGUAAACUUCUAUCAGCAGGGAAGAAAGGGCCUAUGGCCUAUGACGGUACCUGACUAAGAAGCCCCGGCUAACUACGUG
rnacentral:rRNA from 1 species